UUUUGAUCCGAACCACGUUAAAUCUUGUGUUCUUUCUUUUACGUUUCCGCUAACACUUUUUUUUUUAAUCGGUUCAGUAUUCACUUAAUUUCCAUUUGGGGCAUUUCCAUUCCCUCAUCCCCUAUAGAUUCUUUCACUUAAUUUUCAAUUCUCAGGAUCCCCUUUAGCAAUUUUUCCUGUUAUAUGUGCUUAUCAUUAACAUGCAUCAAGUGGUUCAAAUUCACAUGUUCACCCCACCGGUAUGGGCAGGGAGCUUAGGGUUGUCUAUGUCUAAGAUAUCUUAGUGGUUACAUUAUCUAAUGAGAGUUUACUGCUUUCUAGUUACAGGUACACUUUUUAACUUUGAAAAUGCGGAGGUAUCAUGAUUUAAAACCGCGUCUAAAUGCUUCCCAAAUCACCUGUUUAUUAUAAGUUUGAACUUUUAAUCUCUGUAAAAUGUACUUUCAGUCUGUUCAAAUGCAGCUGUCAUUUUGUUAAACUUACAUCUGAAGCUUAGUUUCUUACUAGUGUGCAUUUGCAGUGGAGUUAGGUUCUCAGAUCUAACUGGAACCGACUAUAGUGAAGGAGCAAUUGACCUUGCGCGAAGACUUGCUGAUCGUGAUGGAUUCACCAAUAUCAAGUUCUUGGUUGAUGACGUUCUUGAAACAAAGUUGGAUACAAGGUUUCGGCUUGUUUUGGAUAAGGGAACCUUAGAUGCCAUUGGAUUGCAUCCUGAUGGUCUUAUCAAAAGGAUUAUGUACUGGGAUUCUGUCUCAAGGAUUGUUGCUCCUGGUGGAUUAUUGGUCAUUACAUCAUGUAAUAGUACGAAAGAUGAAUUGGUAGAAGAAGUGGAAACUCUCAAUCAAAGAAGAAAUGCUGCAUGUCAAGAACCAGGAACAGUUGGAGACCAAGAUGCCUCUCUAGAACCCCCUCCAUUCCAUUACCUUGAUCAUGUUCGGACAUAUCCCACGUUCACAUUUGGAGGAUCAGUAGGCUCACGUGUAGCUACUGUAGGUAACGUGUGAAACACUGUAAAGGUAACGUGUGAAACACUGUAAAAUGUUAAGAAAAAGAAAGAAAAGGGAUUACGUUCUUGCA